rnacentral:tRNA from 1 species
GGGUCGGUGGCGUAGUUGGUUAUCGCAUCUGUCUAACACACAGAAGGUCCUCAGUUCGAGCCUGGGUCAACUCA